rnacentral:rRNA from 1 species
UACGUAGGGUGCAGGCGUUAAUCGGAAUUACUGGGCGUAAAGAGUGUGUAGGCGGUGCUCCAAGUCUGUUGUGAAAUCUCCCGGCUUAACUGGGAGGGUGCGGCGGAAACUAGAGUGCUAGAGGGUGGGAGAGGUAAGCGGAAUUCCUGGUGUAGCGGUGAAAUGCGUAGAUAUCAGGAGGAACACCUGUGGUGUAGACAGCUUACUGGACCACUUCUGACGCUGAGACACGAAAGCGUGGGUAGCAAACAGG